rnacentral:ncRNA from 1 species
CAGUGCUCUGAAUGUCAAAGUGAAGAAAUUCAACCAAGCGCGGGUAAACGGCGGGAGUAACUAUGACUCUCUUAAGGUAGCCAAACGCCUCGCUGAAAGACCAUUAUUAUUUUGUUUUAUUGGCGUUGCGAGUAUG